rnacentral:lncRNA from 10 species
CAACACGGAAACAAGAUAUUUCGAUUGUCAUAAAUGCUACAAGGGAAGAAAACCGAGAGUGCUGAGAGACUGAGCACUUCCGGACAGCCUCUCCAGGAGUCCAGCUGGAGCCAAGACCCAGAGAAUGAAGAGCAAGAGAGAGUGUUUCAGACAGAGGUCCGAGGGUCAGAGGCUUGAGGUGGAGAAGACACAGCCUUGAGGAUCCCACAGAAGCCAAUGUGGAGACCAGGGCCAGAUCGUUAGGGGAUCGAAGGCCACAGCAGCCACAGAAUAGAGCUGAUUGUCUUGGCAAACAAGUGACUGGGAAGGAAGGACUUUUGAGGAAACUCAGGGCAGAAACCAUUGAUUAGGACAAGUAUUGUUCUAAUCAGAACUAGAUGUCCUGCAGAGAAGUGAGAAGCCAGGAGAGCGUGGAUGAAUCCCCUGCCCUCUCUCCCGCAUCAUUCCUACAAGCCACAUCCCAGGUGAACACAUGACAAGAGAAACCCCAGGGUAUAUGGGAAAAGAAUCAUGCUCACUACUAAUGAAUGAACAAAUGAGCUGCGGGAAGACUGUGUAUGACAGAUGCUCACCUUUCCUUUCAUCCCUUUUCACCUUAUUCUGAUAAGCCACAAAUGCAGAACUGAAUUCAGAGGAUCUACUGGAUGACACUUGUUUCGUUAUUGGUGACAAUGGACCCAGCACUGCCAAACUCUGUACAGAGAUGCGUGGAUUGGUCUCUGUCCUCAAAAACCUGCAGCCAACCUGAGUGGACAGGACUAACAUGCUGAAACAAGUAGAGGAUGACAGAGAUGCUACAGACUUGACUACUGCACUGCAUAGGUCAGCAGUUGUAUUAGUCUGUUCUCACACUGCUAAUAAAGACAUACUUGAGACUGGGAAAUUUAUAAAGGAAAGAGGUUUAAUGGACUCACAGUUCUACAUGGCUGGGGAGACCUCACAAUCAUGGCGGAAGGCGAAUGAGGAACAAAGUCAUGUCUUACAGGAUGGCAGGCAAGAGAGUGUGUGCAGGGGAACUCUCCUUUAUAAAGCCAUCAGAUCUCAUGAGACUUAUUCACUCUCAAGAGAACAGCUAGGGAAAGACCCACCCCCAUGAUUCAAUUACCUCCCACUGGGUCCCUCCCACAACACGUGGGAAUUAUGGGAGCUACAAUUCAAGAGGAGAUUUGGGUGGGGAUACAGCCAAACCAUAUCAGAGGUGCAGAGAAAAGUGGGACCUACAUGGACUGGAGGGGGAAAAAAAAAAGGAAAUUAUCUUGUGAUUGCAGGGUUUAGGCAGCAGCAUGGCUCAGUUUGGGGAAAUAAUACCUAGAAUUAAAUCAAUUGGUCUUACCCUUGCACCUACUUAUUUAACCAAACUUUGUACGUGCCAGGCAUUCUUCUAAGUGCUUUACAAAUAAUAUUUUAUUCAAUCCUUAAAACAACCUGUGUAGUAGACUAUUAUUAUCCAUGCUUUUUAAAUUGUGGUAAAAUAUACAUCACAUACAAUUUACCAUUGUAACCAUUUUUAGGUUUAUUAUUCAGUGGCAUUAAACACAUUCAGUGUUGUGUGACCAUCAUCACUACCCAUUUCCAGUCUUUUUUACUAUCUCAAACAGAAACUUCAUAUUUAUUAAACAAUAACUGCCCAUCUGUCCUCCCCCUAGACUCUGGCAACCACAAUUGUACUUUCUGUCUCUAUGAAUUUGCCUAUUCUGGGUACCUCACAUAAGUGGAAUCAUAUUUGUCCUUUUGUGACUGGUUUAUUUCACUUAGCAUGAAGGUUCAUCCAUGUUGUAGCAUGUAUCAGAACUUCAUUCUUUUUUCUUCCUUCAGAGUAGAGGAGGGAAAAAUAAUUUGAUUCCUUUUUUAGACUGAGUAAUAUUCGUAUAUGUAUGUAUGUGUGUAAAUAUAUGAUAUAUGUAUGUAUACACAUUUUAUUUAUCCA